rnacentral:rRNA from 1 species
AGACGAGAUAGGAUCAAGCAAUCAGAAACGUUGUAGUCUUUUAUAACUUCGCUAGGAUGGAUCGGACUACAUUCAGUACUAUAGGGAUCAAGUCUUUGGUUCUGGGGGAGUAUGUCGCAGACUGAACUUAAAGAAAUGACGAAGGCAGCGCAGAUUGAGCUUCCGCCUAAUUCGACUCAACACGGGGAACUAACAAGUCAGAUGUGGUAAGGAUGACAGGAUUGAUAGCUCUUUCUGCUAUAGGUGGUGGUGCAUGCCGUCUUAGUUGGUGGAGUGAUUUGUCUGGUUAAUCCGAUAACGAACGAGACCUUAACCUGCUAAUUAGUCAUUCUCAUUUUAUGGGGCACGACUUUUUAGAGGGACUAUGCAUAUCAAAGAAGAAGGAAGAUUGAGGCAAUAACAGGUCUGUGAUGCCAUUAUAUGUCCUGGGCUGCACGCGUGCUACACUGAUGCAUACAAACAAGUGCCUAGCUAGACAUAGUAUGGCAAUCUGGAAUAUGCAUCGUGGUGGGGAUAGAUCUUUGCAAUUAUAGAUCUUGAACGAGGAAUUCCUAGUAAGUGCAAGUCAUCAUCUGCAUUGACUAUGUCCCUGCCCUUAAUACACACCGCCCGUCGCUCCUACCGAUACCGGGUGAUCCGGUGAACCUUGGACCUUCAUUGGAAAAACAAGUUUCUUUUAUCACCAAGAAGGAGAAGUCGAACAAGUAC